UACGACUACAUAUCAGGCAUAUCAAUAAGCGGAGGAAAAGAAACUAACUAGGAUUCCCUCAGUAACGGCGAGUGAAGCGGGAAGAGCUCAAAUUUGAAAUCUUCAAGGUUUUACCUUGACGAAUUGUAGUUUAAAGAAGUGUUUUCUGUUGGUGUUUUGGUAAAAGUUCUUUGGAAUAGGACAUCAUAGAGGGUGAGAAUCCCGUAUUUGACCAUUACUUCCAGCGUUGUGAUACACUUUCAAAGAGUCGGAUUGUUUGGGAAUGCAGUCCAAAAUGGGUGGUAAAUUUCAUCUAAAGCUAAAUAUUGGCGAGAGACCGAUAGCGAACAAGUACCGUGAGGGAAAGAUGAAAAGAACUUUGAAAAGAGAGUUAAACAGUACGUGAAAUUGUCAAAAGGGAAGCGUUUGACACCAGUGUUGUUUUCUCGAAAAUCAAUUAAAAAGUAUGGGAUUUUGUAUUGUUAAGACCUUAUCAGCUUACGGUACUUUUUUCUUAUUCUUUUUAAUGCACUUUUCGUUUAACAAGUCAACAUCAAUUUCUUUUGUUGUAAAAGAGUCAUUGGAAGGUGGCUUUCACUUCGGUGAAAGUGUUUAUAGCCUUUGGCUUCUGCAAUCGGAGAGAUUGAGGUCUGCAGCGUAGAUCCUUCGGGGUUAGAUACGUAGAUGCUAAGUUAUAGUUUUUCAUAGACAACUUGUUGACUAUGAUUAAUCAUGUAGCUUACUCGUUUGCGCUAUUUUACCUACGCUUAGGAUGUUGAAUCUGUGCGAGACUAC
rnacentral:rRNA from 1 species